rnacentral:rRNA from 1 species
GAUGAACGCUGGCGGCGUGCCUAAUACAUGCAAGUCGAGCGAACAGACGAGGAGCUUGCUCCUCUGACGUUAGCGGCGGACGGGUGAGUAACACGUGGAUAACCUACCUAUAAGACUGGGAUAACUUCGGGAAACCGGAGCUAAUACCGGAUAAUAUAUUGAACCGCAUGGUUCAAUAGUGAAAGACGGUUUUGCGGUCACUUAUAGAUGGAUCCGCGCCGCAUUAGCUAGUUGGUAAGGUAACGGCUUACCAAGGCAACGAUGCGUAGCCGACCUGAGGGGGUGAUCGGCCACCCUGGAACUGAGACACGGUCCAGACUCCUACGGGAGGCAGCAGUAGGGAAUCUUCCGCAAUGGGCGAAAGCCUGACGGAGCAACGCCGCGUGAGUGAUGAAGGUCUUCGGAUCGUAAAACUCUGUUAUUAGGGAAGAACAAAUGUGUAAGUAACUAUGCACGUCUUGACGGUACCGAAUCAGAAAGCCACGGCUAACUACGUG